UACGUAGGUGGCAAGCGUUGUCCGGAUUUACUGGGCGUAAAGAGCGCGCAGGCGGUCUUUUAAGUCGAAUGUGAAAGCCCCCGGCUCAACUGGGGAGGGUCAUUCGAUACUGAUCGACUUGAAGGCAGGAGAGGGAAGUGGAAUUCCGGGUGUAGUGGUGAAAUGCGUAGAUAUCAGGAGGAACACCUGUGGCGAAAGCGGCUCACUGGACCACAACUGACGCUGAUGCACGAAAGCUAGGGGAGCAAACAGG
rnacentral:rRNA from 1 species